rnacentral:tRNA from 1 species
GUUACUUUGGCAGAUUAGUGUAAGAAAUUUAGAAUUUCUAAAUGAUUGAAAAAUCAAGUAAUA